GUCUGUUUGUAAAUAAAAUCAGUCUGGCCUGCCCACUGAUUAUUUAAAGGGCCGCGGUAUUCUGACCGUGCGAAGGUAGCAUAAUAAUUAGUUUCUUAAUUGGAAACUGGAAUGAAAGGUCGGACAAAAAGAAAUCUGUUUUAAUUGUAAAUAUAGAAUUUAACUUUUAAGUGAAAAGGCUUAAAUAAAGUUUAAAGACGAUAAGACCCUAUAAAACUUAACAUAAAUAUUAUUUAAUUUUAUUCAUUCGUUAAACAAAGUUAAAUAUUAUUUAUGUUUCAUUGGGGUGAUGAUAGCAUAGGAGUAACUGCUUAAAAUUUUUAACAAAUAAUGUUUGAAUUGAAAAUCCUUAACCAUUAAGAAUAAAGAAAAAGUUACUUUAGGGAUAACAGCGUUAUUUUUUUUAAGAGUCCUUAUCGACAAAAAAGUUUGCGACCUCGAUGUUGAAUUAAAAUUAUUUUAUAAUGCAGCAGUUAUAAGAAUAGGUCUGUUCGACCUU
rnacentral:rRNA from 1 species